rnacentral:rRNA from 1 species
CCCUUAGAUGUUCUGGGCCGCACGCGCGCUACACUGAUGCAUUCAACAAGCCUAGCCUUGACCGAGAGGUCCGGGUAAUCUUUGAAACUGCAUCGUGACGGGGCUAGAUUAUUGCAAUUAUUAAUCUUCAACGAGGAAUGCCUAGUAAGCGUGAUUCAUCAAAUCGCGUUGAUUACGUCCCUGCCCUUUGUACACACCGCCCGUCGCUCCUACCGAUUGAAUGUGUUGGUGAGGAGCUCGGAUUGGCAGCAGUUGGUGGUUCGCCACCGGCUAUUGCUGAGAAGUCCUCCAAACCGCCCCAUUUAGAGGAAGGAGAAGUCGUAACA